AUACGUAGGUGACAAGCGUUAUCCGGAUUUACUGGGCGUAAAGGGCGUGUAGGCGGUCUUGCAAGUCAGAAGUGAAAUUCCUGAGCUCAACUCGGGCGCUGCUUCUGAAACUGCAGGGCUUGAGUGCUGGAGGGGAUAGCGGAAUUCCUAGUGGAGCGGUAAAAUGCGCAGAUAUUAGGAAGAACACCGGUGGUGAAGGCGACUAUCUGGACAGUAACAGAGACUGGGGCGCGAACGCGUGGGGAGAAAACAGGAUUGGAUACCCUGGGAGUCCACGCCGUAAACGAUGAAUACUAGGGGUAGGGGGUAUCGACUCCCUCUGUGCCGCAGUUAACACAAGAAGUAUUCCGCCUGGGGAGUACGGCCGCAAGGUUGAAACUCAAAGGAAUUGACGGGG
rnacentral:rRNA from 1 species